GCGCCCGUAGCUUAGUUGAAUAGAGCAUCAGCGUCCGAUGCUGAAGGUCAUGGGUUUGAAUCCCAUCGGGCGUA
rnacentral:tRNA from 1 species